rnacentral:tRNA from 1 species
CGUAGUUCAGUUGGUUAGAGCGUCAGAUUGUGGUUCUGAAUGUCGGGGGUUCGAGUCCCCCCGG